UACCAAACUCUUUGCUAGGAUAGCGAGUUCCUACAAUGAGCCAAUGUUGUACCCUUGCUGCCGGGCUGACCGUAGGAUGUUUUCGUGGUUUUCUACUCCAUAUAACUCAAAUGUGGGUCAGUUCCAUUAAAAAGUCCUUCCCGAAGGUUAGUUUGCUGCAAUGCUUGACCGCAUAUUGGAGCUGACAUUGGCUACGGAUUCAACGUUCAAGGAGGGCUGGAAAAUAAAAUGAGCUGAUGUUUAAAGAUUGAUGCUAUGAAAAAAACAGAAAGAGGAACGAGAAAUGGAAUCAGAGAUACAAGAAAAGGAACUGAAUGAAAAUUGGGUCGAAUUGAAUGAGUUAAAGAAAGAAGAGUCUCAGAUGGAAAGCAAACUCAAUUCAAGCAAAACUCAACUUGAUGCAUUGACUUCUUCUUUACAAAGUAGCACCCUUCAGAUAAGUCAAAAAAAAAUUAAAAUUGACCAAAUACAAGAGCAACAUAGGUUAAAUGAGUGAAGCUAUCAAGGAUAUAGAUAAUGUGCUUUCUUUUGUUGAUUUCCAAAAUAUAUCAAACUUUACUAUGUAUGGUUUUUCUACACCUAAUGAUGACAGAGCCUAUAUUUCACUAACAUGUCCCAAAAACCUUUGAUGAAGUUGAACCAGCUGUAACUGCACCUCUCAAUGAUUUUCAGGAGGAUCCAUUUAAAAGUAGUCAUCCCAUCGAAGGUAAAACAAAUGGAUUUGCAAAUGAUCCAUUUUCUGGUGAAGAUCCAUUCAAAUCUGAUCCUUUUGUUGAUACUAAUGUUGCAGCAGCUAGUGAUCCUUUCAGGGGAGACCCUUUUGAAAGUGCUUUUAAUGUAACUGCAUCACAAUGAA